UUAGCAUGGAAUAAUGAAAUAGGACGUGCGGUUCUAUUUUGUUGGUUUCUAGAGUCGCCGUAAUGAUUAAUAGGGAUAGUUGGGGGCAUUAGUAUUCAGUUGCUAGAGGUGAAAUUCUUGGAUUUACUGAAGACUAACUACUGCGAAAGCAUUUGCCAAGGAUGUUUUCAUUAAUCAAGAACGAAGGUUAGGGGAUCGAAAACGAUCAGAUACCGUUGUAGUCUUAACAGUAAACUAUGCCGACUAGGGAUCGGGCGAUCUCACUUUUAUGUGUCGCUCGGCACCUUACAAGAAAUCAAAGUCUUUGGGUUCUGGGGGGAGUAUGGCCGCAAGGCUGAAACUUAAAGGAAUUGACGGAAGGGCACCACCAGGAGUGGAGCCUGCGGCUUAAUUUGACUCAACACGGGGAAACUCACCAGGUCCAGACAUAACUAGGAUUGACAGAUUGAUAGCUCUUUCUUGAUUUUAUGGGUGGUGGUGCAUGGCCGUUCUUAGUUGGUGGAGUGAUUUGUCUGGUUAAUUCCGAUAGCGAACGAGACCUUAACCUGCUAAAUAGUCCGGCCGGCUUUUGCUGGUCGCAGACUUCUUAGAGGGACUGUCAGCGUCUAGCUGACGGAAGUUUGAGGCAAUAACAGGUCUGUGAUGCCCUUAGAUGUUCUGGGCCGCACGCGCGCUACACUGACAGAGCCAGCGAGUUCUCACCUUGGCCGGAAGGUCUGGGUAAUCUUGUGAAACUUUGUCGUGCUGGGGAUAGAGCAUUGCAAU
rnacentral:rRNA from 1 species